rnacentral:rRNA from 1 species
CCUACGGGUGGCAGCAGUGAGGAAUAUUGGUCAAUGGGCGCGAGCCUGAACCAGCCAAGUCGCGUGAGGGAAGACGGUCCUAUGGAUUGUAAACCUCUUUUGUCGAGGAGCAAAAGACGCCACGCGUGGCGUUCCGAGAGUACCCGAAGAAAAAGCAUCGGCUAACUCCGUGCCAGCAGCCGCGGUAAUACGGAGGAUGCGAGCGUUAUCCGGAUUUAUUGGGUUUAAAGGGUGCGCAGGCGGAAGAUCAAGUCAGCGGUAAAAUUGAGAGGCUCAACCUCUUCGAGCCGUUGAAACUGGUGUUCUUGAGUGAGUGAGAAGUAUGCGGAAUGCGUGGUGUAGCGGUGAAAUGCAUAGAUAUCACGCAGAACUCCGAUUGCGAAGGCAGCAUACCGGCGCUCAACUGACGCGCAUGCACGAAAGUGUGGGUAUCGAACAGGAUUAGAUACCCUAGUAGUC